UACUAGCUGGGGAGUUAGCGGUGCCCUGUAUCUACAAUCCGCUUUAGUAGAGGUGAUGUCGGGCUUAAGGGAAGUUUUAGUAUCAAAGCCUUGCUUUAAAGGUGUUGAGAAAAUAGUCCUGUAUUGUAGAGAGUCAGCGAACCGUGUCAGGGCGGGAACGAAGCAGCACUAAGUUGAUUUCUCUAGGUUUACAGGGUCGCUGUUUUUGAGU
rnacentral:SRP_RNA from 1 species